UAUUUUGCCUCAUUGGAGGCAAAAUAUUAUCGCAAAAAGGACAUAUCCUUCAGUGGCAGAGAAAAGAAAGAGGAAGAAAGAGGAGGAGGACAAAAAACGCCAAGAUAAAGAGCUCAGUCUGUCCCCCAUCCUCUGUGUCCACUGUCCCCUCCGUGUCUGCAACCACAGCUGAUCUACCUGCACCACAACGUCCCCUUGGUACCAUGGAUCAUCAUCUUCAUCAUCAUCAUCAGCUCACGUUGACCCAGCUGAGUGGCCUUCUUUCCUCUCUGAUUUAGACAGGACUGAGCAGGUGAUCAGAGGGCCUCUGCCU